rnacentral:rRNA from 1 species
GACGAACGCUGGCGGCGUGCUUAACACAUGCAAGUCGAACGAAGAGCGAUGGAAGCUUGCUUCUAUCAAUCUUAGUGGCGAACGGGUGAGUAACGCGUAAUCAACCUGCCCUUCAGAGGGGGACAACAGUUGGAAACGACUGCUAAUACCGCAUACGAUCUAAUCUCGGCAUCGAGGAUAGAUGAAAGGUGGCCUCUACAUGUAAGCUAUCACUGAAGGAGGGGAUUGCGUCUGAUUAGCUAGUUGGAGGGGUAAAGGCCCACCAAGGCGAUGAUCAGUAGCCGGUCUGAGAGGAUGAACGGCCACAUUGGGACUGAGACACGGCCCAGACUCCUACGGGAGGCAGCAGUGGGGAAUCUUACGCAAUGGACGAAAGUCUGACGGAGCAACGCCGCGUGAGUGAUGACGGCCUUCGGGUUGUAAAGCUCUGUUAAUCGGGACGAAAGGCCUUCUUGCGAAUAGUGAGAAGGAUUGACGGUACCGGAAUAGAAAGCCACGGCUAACUACGUG